GAAGUUUGUAGUAGCUGCUACGAGUGUCGGCCGUAGCGAACUUCCAGCCCAGUGCUGCCGUGGGAAAAAAAAUCAGCGGCACAGUACUAACGGGAGGACACGCGAGCAGGGGGAGAAAGCGUGGAGAGCACAACACUCACGAACCUAACUUCCAGCUACAGCUGCUGCUACGGGCGCUCGUUCAAGAUACCGGAGCAAGCACAUCUGUUCACGGUGCUAGGCUACAUCACGUAGCAUGCCAGACGGACCCACCACAGAUGCGCACACAUGGAACGCAGCUUUCUAUGAAAACACUGCGACCUCACUACAAAAGUACAGGCACACAGAAAACUGUGCUGCACUGAUGUUGGUGUUGGGACCUCAGCUGUAAGAGACCUCGCUUGGAGGAGGGAGAGGACAAGAUGUGAC